UGGGGAAUCUUGGACAAUGGGCGCAAGCCUGAUCCAGCCAUGCCGCGUGAGUGAUGAAGGCCUUAGGGUUGUAAAACUCUUUCGUCGGGGACGCGGUACCCGAAGAAGAAGCCCCGGCUAACUUCGUGCCAGCAGCCGCGGUAAUACGAAGGGGGCUAGCGUUGUUCGGAUUUACUGGGCGUAAAGCGCGUGUAGGCGGGCUGGUAAGUUGGGGGUGAAAUCCCGAGGCUCAACCUCGGAACUGCCUCCAAAACUGUCAGCCUGGACUCAAGUAGAGGCAAGUGGAAUUGCGAGUGUAGAGGUGAAAUUCGUAGAUAUUCGCAGGAACACCAGUGGCGAAGGCGACUUGCUGGACUUGUAGUGACGCUGAGACGCGAAAGCGUGGGGAGCAAACAGGAUUAGAUACCCCUGUAGU
rnacentral:rRNA from 1 species